CAUAAUUGUAAAAAAUUACAUUAUAAUGAUAACUGUCCCCAAAUUAGCCUGAUAACACCAUCUACCUGCCUUGUGAGCGAAAGAAACAGUGCAGUAAAGAAAGAUGUUAAAACAGAGUCGAGAUAGGGGAAUAAUGUUUAAUUGGCUCUCCAGAGUCCACUAAUUUUCAGAAUUGGAAACCUAGUGUUUGAUUUGUUCUUUUUAGUCAGUGAGAAGAAAAAAUAUCCUUCAUAAAUUCUGAAUGACAAAUUUGCCCAUCCUUUUUUGCAUGUGAUUCCAGCAUCCCAGGGAAUCUAAAGUGUCAUUUCCUCUCUGGAAGAAAGGAAGCACAAAACAUGCUGGGUUUAUACAAUACAAGAUGAUUCUUGUCCUUCUAGGAAGAAUCCCCUACUGAAAUGAAAGAAUAAAUAGACUUCAACCUGUCUCUCAAAAUGAAUGCAACUAAAAUUCCUGAAGAGAAUAUAUCGGACAGCUGAGGACUAAAACAUAAAUGACAGCACCACUAAACAAGCAGAGGAAGAAAUGUAAGCAUCGAGGUGCACCUAUCCAGAGAGAAGGUUCAUGCUGAGUCUCAUGAAGGCUUGAAGGCUGUUUGGUUUUGAUAAAGUUGUAAUUUGAAAUCAGUUCAUG
rnacentral:lncRNA from 13 species